GGAAUUGUUCGCAAUGGGCGCAAGCCUGACGACGCAACGCCGCGUGGAGGAUGAAGGUCUUCGGAUUGUAAACUCCUGUUGCCCGGGACGAAAUGUUCAGCCCUAACACGUCUGAGUUUGACGGUCCCGGGUGAGGAAGCCCCGGCUACCUCUGGGCCAGCAGCCGCGGUAAUACAGAGGGGGCAAGCGUUGUUCGGAAUUUCGGGGCGUAAAGGGCGCGUAGGCGGCCCUCUAAGUCGAACGUGAAAUCCCUGGGCUCAACCCAGGAACUGCGUCCGAGACUGGGGGGCUCGAAUCCGGGAGAGGGAUGUGGAAUUCCAGGUGUAGCGGUGAAAUGCGUAGAUAUCUGGAGGAGCAUCGGUGGCGAAGGCGGCAUCCUGGACCGGUAUUGACGCUGAGGCGCGAAAGCCAGGGGAGCAAA
rnacentral:rRNA from 1 species